UCAAGGAGUUCCAAGGAAGCUGAGGUUGGAGCAUCACUGGUCCCUAGAGGAAUGUCAGCCACUAAAAGCCAGUAAAUUGGAUUUUGGAUAAAGUUCCUGAUAUGGGCAUAUUUUUAGUGCACAAAAUCGUUUGGACCGCAAGGAACUGACCAACCAACACUUUUCCACCAAAAGCUUUGUCCUCGACCCUUGCAACCUUUUGCUUUAAAGUUCAGAUUGUAGCGAGCAAGCCCUGCAGCUGCUCCCUCUCCAGGUCCCGAGGUGGCUCCGCGCUCCCCGGUGGGGGCGGAGCCAGGGGGCGGGGCGUGUGGCUGGAGAAUUUUCCUGGGUUCCCUCUGAGUGUCCCAGGCCUGGCUCCCCGGGAGACUCCGGGUCCUCAAACUUCUUAUCACCUUCUGCAAAGGAGGACAGACUAUUUGGCCACCUGACUGCAAGGAUCAGACAUGAGGGGAAGGACUCCCCAGGUCAGGUGACUGUGUCUGGCCACUGUUUCUGGCUCAGCCAUCUCUCCAGGACAUUCAGGCAUCUCACUGAAUUCUGCCGAGCGCAGGGGGAAGAGUUCCCAGAGGCCAUUACUAUCAUAAAAUACGGAGCUUCACAAGCUGAUGUGCCUGUCUGCAAAGUCCCUGUGGAGACCAGGCGGACACACAUAAAUGGGCAAAUGGUUUUUAACCAUAGGUGCUGACACUGAGUUUCCUGAGAGCGGUAGACACUCAGCUCCUACUUGGGGAUUUGUAGGAAGAAUUUCACGGAGCGUGCACCACAUUUUCUUUAAAAACAAAAACGAAAAUAAGAAUCAAAACAGUGACAACAACAGCAAACCCAAACUAUUUCAUUAUUUCCAGAUGUGUUCCUCAGUUUUCCAUUGCUGUGAUAUACAGCUGAGAAAAAUCAACUUUAAAAGAAGUAAGGUUUAUGUUGGCUCCCAGAUGUGGGGUUUCCAUGCAUGGUGUGUAUGGACCAUUACUCCUGGACCUGGAGUGGGGCAGCACCUCAUGGCAGGAGUGCAUGUUGGAGGAAGCAGCUCACCUCAUGGUGACCACAAAGGAAGACAGGAAGAGGGUGGGCCAGAGGCCCAAUAGCCCCUUUAAGGACACGCCCCCAGUGUCCUAACUUCCUCCCAUGAGGCCCCACCCCCAAAAGCUUCCAUCAUUUCCCAACAGCACCACAGACUGGUGACUAAACCUUUAACACGUGGCCUUUAUGAUUCAAACUUUAGCCCUAAAUGGCCUUUUUAUUUAUAGUGACAUUACAUAUACAUACCUAUAGGAGGUGCGUGGAAUGUGUUCCCUGGGGCUUUUGAUAGAACCUUUAUCUCUAUAACUCUUUUUUUUUUUACAACUGAAAAGAGUUUCAUAAAGGUAAAUUGGAGGUUUUCCUUUUGAUGAUAAUUUCCAUUAUCACUUGAAGUGAAGAAAUUCUCAGAACAUAGUUUAGAAUCAUGCCUAAGGUACACAUUUCAGUACAAUCUUAUUCUACAAUGAGGCUAAACUGUGCUUCUUAUUUGUCUAGUAUUGCCACCUGUAUUGGCUAGUAUUUUUCAUGUCCGGUGUUUGCUGACCCCAAGGUCUUGAAGAUAUCCUAUAUUAUCUAAGAUCCCUCUUUUUUGCCUCUUGGCCAAUAAUAGGUCCUCCAGAUACCUGGAAUUGUGCAUAACUAUAAUGAAAUAUGGGAGGUAGACUAUUUUAUAGAGGAAAAAAAGAUUUAUUUAGCUCACAGUUUUGGAGGCCAAAAGUCCAAAUGGCAUGGUGCAGGUUCUAGUGAGGGUCUUCUUUGGCUGAGUAAUGUCAUGGAGGGAGCAUGUGUGUAUCUCUGUCCCUCUGGUCUCUCUUCCUCUCCUUAUAAAGCCACCAAAAUCCAGUCUCAUUACCUGUCUAACCUAAUCAUAUUCCAAAGAAACACCACAGUCAGAAUAAAUUUCUACCCUUUUCCUAUCUCCCAGUGGGGAUUAAAUGUCACUAUUAGUUUUGGGAGGAUAAAGCAUGCUUAACCCAUAGCACACUUCUUUAAAAACCAAACAAAUCCACUCAGUCUGUCCUGGAGGAAUUUUAAGUUAAGUAUUUAUUUAUAUUUAAACUUCCUCCUAUUGUGAAAUAUGAUAUGCAUUCAGAAAAGUUCAGAAAGCUUCUGAACUAGCUUUGAUUAAUGAUUGUAAAUCAAACCUGCAUGUAAACACCUCCACCCCCUCCUUCAAGAAAUGGCCUGGGGCCAGCCUCCGAGCCUGCUCCGGGGCUCUCUGCCAACCCCAUUCUCCCUGUGCUCUCUCAGGGUAGUAAAGAUGUCCCAUAUAUUUUCUUUGACGGCUAGUAUUUUUCAUGUCCAGUGUUUGCUGACCCCAAGGUCUUGAAGAUAUCCUGAAUUACCUUCUAAGAUCCCUCUCAUUUUGCCUUUUAGCCAAUAGGUCCUCCGGAUACCUGGAAUUGUGCGAGGCCACGGCCAAGAGGUCUGAUGGCCUGGUCACCAGAGAUCUCUCUGGAAAGAGCUCUCUGCCUUCCUUGGAAGCCGAGGGUCAACAGACCAGAAAUGUCAUGUUGUGGGAUGACAUUUGAGCUUCCUGGUCUGUUCUGCUGAUCGAUUUUCCUUUUUCCUUGCGCUUUCACAUUGGGCUCAUUUCAGAACCUUCGUUAUCAAUCUCGGUGUCUUCCAGAACACUCCAGAGUGUCACAGCUUUUCCAUUUGCAUGAAUUUUAAUCAGCCUGUCAAGUUUCACGCACACCCAUAUGUCAGACAUUUGACUGAAAUCACACUGAUUUAUAGAUCGACGUUUAGAGAAUUGACAUUGAUACUGAGUUUCUCAAUCCACAAACAUGGUGUAGAUCUCCAUUUAUUUGGGUCUUUAAAUUUCCGGAAGUCACUUUAUAUUUUGCUCUGUAGAGUGUUGCAUGUCAUUGGUUAAAUGCAUCCCCAGGUAUUUAGUAUUCCUGGUGUCAUUAUAAAUUAUAUACUUAAGGGUGAUUUUCCAUUUCUUGCUUGUAUGCAGACAUAUGACUGGUCUUUUGAAUUUUUAUCUUCAUCCAGCAAACCUGUUACAAUGUUUCAAUUUGAAUAAUUUUUCUGUAGCCCCCUUUUGGAUUUUCAUAAUAAAAUAUCACAUUAUUCAUAA